AAUGAACGCUGGCGGCAGGCCUAACACAUGCAAGUCGAACGGAUCCUUCGGGAUUAGUGGCGGACGGGUGAGUAACGCGUGGGAACAUACCCAAAGGUACGGAAUAGCCUCGGGAAACUGGGAGUAAUACCGUAUGUGCUCGAAAGAGGAAAGAUUUAUCGCCUUUGGAUUGGCCCACGUUGGAUUAGGUAGUUGGUGGGGUAAUGGCCUACCAAGCCGACGAUCCAUAGCUGGUUUGAGAGGAUGAUCAGCCACACUGGGACUGAGACGCGGCCCAGACUCCUACGGGAGGCAGCAGUGGGGAAUCUUAGACAAUGGGGGAAACCCUGAUCUAGCCAUGCCGCGUGAUCGAUGAAGGCCUUAGGGUUGUAAAGAUCUUUCAGGUGGGAAGAUAAUGACUGUACCACCAGAAGAAGCCCCGGCUAACUCCGUGCCAGCCGCCGCGGUAA
rnacentral:rRNA from 1 species